rnacentral:lncRNA from 1 species
CACUAUGCUACCCAAAGACAUGAGAAAAACUACACCACAACACAACGUCGGUUAAUGCAAUGUUUGACGGCUUUAUAGACGUCGUACGUGUCACUGAACCAACGUCUAUAGUACCCUUAGACGUCUGUCAGUGCAAUGUCUGAUGUCUUUAUAGACGUCGAGCUUUGCACUAAACCGACGUCUAUAGCGACGUCGCACUUGCAGAAAUCCGAC